AUGAACAUCUGCUUACUGUGCAAAUGGAUCUGGAAACUCGAAAAUGGCAGUGGUGUGUGGCAAGAUCUAGUGAGAAAGAAAUACUUAAGUAGAUGUACCCUUAGAGAUAGCAAGAAAAAACCUGGUCAUUCUCAUUUCUGGCAGGGUCUAAUGAAGGUUAAACCAAUUUUCCUGCAAUAUUGUAGGAAGAUGGUGGGUAAUGGGGAGAGGACUAUGUUUUGGAGUGAUAUAUGGCUAGGAGACAAACCUCUUAGCGUGCAGUUCCCUAGACUUUAUCUGCUAACCUUUAGUUCAGAUUUCACUGUCGCCAAAGCUCUAUCUGAUAAUAUGAGUUUGAUUAGAUUUAGAAGAGUCUUAUGGGGAGACACGGCUGAUAUGUGGUAUGAGCUCAAAAAUCUAUGCAGUAAAGUAGUUUUAAAUGAUCAAGAGGAUAGAUGUAGCUGGCUGCUAACUAAAUCUGGUAGAUUCACAGUUAGAUCUUUGUAUCUUGCUUUAAAAACGGAUCAGGCUGCCUGGCCUCAUAGGAAAUUGUGGCAGGCAAGGAUACCGCUGAAAGUUAAAGUUUUCUUGUGGUUGAUGUUUAAGAAUAGUGUCCUAACUAGAGACAAUUUGGCGAAAAGAAACUGA
rnacentral:rRNA from 1 species